AGCAGCAGCCACGGUAAAACGUAGGGGGCAAGCGUUAUCCGGAAUAACUGGGCGUAAAGGGUGCGCAGGUGGUUUAACAAGUUAGUGGUGAAAGGCAUAGGCUCAACCAAUGUAAGCCAUUAAAACUGUUUAACUUGAGUGCAGGAGAGGAAAGUGGAAUUCCUAGUGUAGCGGUGAAAUGCGUAGAUAUUAGGAGGAAUACCAGUGGCGAAGGCGACUUCCUGGACUGCAACUGACACUGAGGCACGAAAGCGUGGGGAGCAAACAGGAUUAGAUACCCGAGUAGUCCCUGUCUCUUAUACA
rnacentral:rRNA from 1 species